rnacentral:rRNA from 1 species
AACGAACGCCGGCGGCAGGCUUAACACAUGCAAGUCGAACGCAUCCUUCGGGGUGAGUGGCAGACGGGUGAGUAACACGUGGGAACGUACCUUUCGGUUCGGGAUAACCCAGGGAAACUUGGGCUAAUACCGGAUACGUCCCGAGGGAGAAAGAUUUAUUGCCGAGAGAUCGGCCCGCGUCUGAUUAGCUAGUUGGUAGGGUAAUGGCCUACCAAGGCGACGAUCAGUAGCUGGUCUGAGAGGANGAUCAGCCACACUGGACUGAGACACGGCCCAGACUCCUACGGGAGGCAGCAGUGGGGAAUAUUGGACAAUGGGCGCAAGCCUGAUCCAGCCAUGCCGCGUGAGUGAUGAAGGCCCUAGGGUUGUAAAGCUCUUUCGGCGGGGACGAUAAUGACGGUACCCGCAGAAGAAGCCCCGGCUAA